CCGGCCACGGCGGGCGUGGCCGCUGGCUCGUGGUGACUUGGCCUUGGGCUCGGAAGACACGGGUCUUGAGAGAAUAGAUGAGCUAAAGCACAGGCGAGGGCAGAAGAUGCAGGUCUCAAAACAGUAACGGGCACAGAGAGUGUUUGCUGCGAUUAUUCUGGUCCUCCGAGGCAUAACUCCGGCGUCUCCUAAGCCCUAAGAAGACUUCCGAGUUGCCCUGCCACCCCAGGCGGAGGCUUUCUCCUCAUUUUCUCUGCUUCUCAGCUCCAGAAGACCAAGUGAAGACACUGAAAGACAAGGUAUCGCCUGGGAGAAAAUACCCAACAGAACUCUCUGGAACAUCUACACGUGCAUCUAGAAUGUAUAAAGAAGGUCCCCCAAAUGCAACGGCUAAAAACAAUUCAUUAGAACGCAGGCAACAGCUGUGCAACAGAUAUUUUGCCGAAGAGGGUACCCGGGUGGCAAAUAAGUGUGCAAGAUCGUUCAUCAUAAUUACAGCCAGGAGAGAAAUGCAAAGGAGAGAAAUGCAAAGACCGCAAGGAGACAUGACCGCACCUAUCAGAAUGGCUAAAGCAAAAACGGUAAGGAUAGCGAGGGUGCAGGGGGAAAAAAUCCCAAACUGGACCACUCGUGCGUUGUUGGUGGGAAUGUGGCCCGGCCACUCUGGAAAAGACUACGGCGGUUUCUUUAACAGUCGUGCUCACGGGCAUCUAUCCCGGAGGAAUGAGAGCUUACACAUUCACACAAAAACCAGGACAUGGAUCCCCAUGGUGGCUUUAUUCGGGAGAGCCCCAAACUGCAAAUAACCCAAAUGUCCUUCCACCUGAAUGGCUAUAUAACUGUAGCACAUCCACCCCAUGGCAUGGGACUCGGCGAUCAAAAAGAAUAAACACUGAUGCAUGUAGCAAGUAGGAUGGGUCUCAAGAGAAGGAUGCGGAGUGAAAAGGCCAGCCUCAAAGGUUACAUACUGUACAAUUCCACUUAAAUAACAUCCUUGCGGUGACAAAACUCUACAGAUGGAGACGAGAUAAGUAGUCUCCAGGGGUUAGGGAGCGAGAAGGGGGGGAGGUGGCCAUGGCUCUCAAAGGGUAGCAUGAAGGAUCCCGGCGAGGAACCUUCUGUAGCUUGGCGGUGGCCGUCACAGGAGUCCACGUGUGGUAACUUUGCGUGGAACUAAAUACACACGCGCAAAGGAGUGCAUGUGAAACUGUGAGAUCCAAAGAUGGCUGGUGGAUUGUAUCGAUGCCAAUUUCUUGGUUGUGAUGCACCGUCAGGUGCAAGAGGGAACCGUUGGGGGAAGCUGGGAGGAGGGAUAUGGGAUCUCUCGGUGUUCCUUCUUCACUUGCAUGCAAAGCUGCACGGCUGUCUCAAUAAAAAAGCCCCCCGGGGGUUAUGCAUCUACUGGGAUGACCUGAAGAGCGCCCAGCAAUACCAGCUGCUGGCGAGGAUACGGAGCAAUCAGACCUCUCGUGCGUUGCUGGUGUCAAUAUACAAACGGUACGUCCGUGGGCCCCUGGAUGGCUCACUCCGUUAAACGUCCGACUCUUGGUUUUAGCU